CCGCCCGCACCUCUGCUCCUGCCUAUGUGGCAGACAAUGGCUUGGCUUUUGCUGCUGCGCAGGAUGCAACAGCCUUUCAUUUUCACUUGAAAGUCGCCUGAUCCACCCUAACAAACGGCUGCAAUUAACUUUUGUCCUUUUGGAGGGAUGCUGAGUUUUUGGGCUGUUUCAAGUUGGUCCUCUCUGAGGGCUCGGGAGCACCGGUGACAUUCCCGGAAGAAUAAGACCGGCUGCACUGAAAAAAUAAAACCGCUGAGAUGAAGUCGACAGCUCUUUUGUUCUUCCUCUGGAUACUCUGGCUGGUUGUGCCCAGACCUUGGUCUCUCGGAUCUCUCUAAGGAACUACCCACCAGCUGAAAACCCAGAGGGGAAAAAGGGAGGAGAAAGAAGAACGAGGGCGGGUUAAACCUUUGCAGUCAGAUGCCAGCAUUAAAGCUCUGGCAGCGAAACUGAGUAAGAGACAGUUUAGAAGUGGAAAUGCUGCAGAGAAGAGAAAGGGGUGAAGUCAGGAGGAGUUUCCAAAUGCACCGCUUGGGGUGGAGAGCGUCCAGCUCCCCAUCCCGAGUGAUGCAUUGCGAGCACUGGACACACUCCCCGGACACACUCCCCGGACACACUACCCUGGACACACUACCCUGGACACACUACCCUGGCCAGGGUCCCCCACGAGCCGGGCUGUGGGGACCCCCAUGUCGGGAGGAAAAGCACAGCAAAGGCAAACGCGAAUCUCGGGCCAUACCUCGCAGUCCCGGCAGCACGGCUGAGGGAACUUCAGGCUCUUGGACAGGCUGGAGGAAUCUGUGGGUUUUAGAAGGAGGCAGGAGGAAGCCGAAGGGUGGGCUGGGUUUCCCGCUGCCUCUCCCCCUCCUCCUCCUCGCUAUCUUUCCAAAUCCGUCUCUUCCUCUCCCCCUCUAAGUGGGCAGUCCCUCCUGAGGCACAGCCUGGCUCCAAAGGAUAGACCAGAGAAAUCAAGCCGGAGAUCAAGGGGUCCCUCGCGGGGACAGAGCAGCCCUCAGCGCAGCCCUCCCAGCAGAGUCCCUGUCACAGCAGCUCCCUGCUCUGCUGCCGUGAGUUUUCAGUGCUCUGUCCCUCUCGGACUGACAGCAGGGGGGAUGGGGGAGUGCCAGCUCUCUGCUUGGUUUUUACACCUCUUAACCACUUCACCUGCUGCAAUUAUGUUAAAUGCUGUCAUUUCUCAGCGGAGUAGCUCACUCCCUGAGCUGGUGUUUCCCAUCCUCGAGGGCAUGCAGAGGAAAGCGGGAGAGCUUUUGCUCGUCCAUGCUGUCCCCUAACACUGCUGAUAUCUGUGACUGCCUUGUGGAGAGGGAGAGGAAAGAAUGACGCAGGGAAUGUGGAGGAUAGAGACAUAUCUGAAAUAUGCUGUAAGUAGGCAGAGAAAUGCUGGGCUGGUAGAUGUGACUCUCAGCAGGCUGGUCUCUCUGCUGUGGUUAUCGUCCAGCAGAUCUAGACUGAUUGAACAAAACCCACAGUCAGAAUUGCCAGUCAGCUGAAUUCAGUGGUCUCUUCAGACAUCACUCAGUAUUUUGACUUUACAGAUCAUAACUCAGCUGGAGCAGCUGCCCAGCCAGAGGGAGCCAAGCAGCAAAGCUGUUUCGAGUUGAGUUUUCCCAUCUGUUCCUCUCUAUGCUCAGGGUGAAAACCCAGCUCUUCUCUCCUUGCUUCUCUCCAUGGCUGAGAGGAUCUGAGGUGCAUCUGCUCCCUCAGAACCAGCAUGGCCAUGGCAUUGCACUGCAAAGGAGAGCCAGCAGCCAAAAAUUGCUACAGUUUGGGCAUCCCUAAAGAGUGUCUCCGUGCCAUACAGGGCUGUUCUGAGCCCUGUGGAUAAUCCAGCCCUUUGCAGCUUGUGAUCCUCCUGUGGCAUCAAACCUCACCCCAGGGCUGGUCUCCAGGGGCUGCUGGAAAGAUGGUGUCUCAUGUAGCCAGCAGGACUGAGGACAUCUGGGCACCAGCAGUGUGAUUGUGCUGGGUGAAGGACACCCAAGACCAUAACAAAAUUCAACAUCAUGUUUUGUUUUGGCUGCCUGGGGUUUGGGUUCAUUCCUUGUGAUUAUGUGCUAUCUUUGAGAGGGGCUGAGACAUGGACCUGGGUGCUUAACUCUUCCCACUGAUGUUGCUGAGGAUUUAGAUGUCAACACAGGGACUGGCCUGUGAUGACCUCUGGGCUGUGCUGGCUCCUUGCCCUGCAGGAUGCCUGCUUGCUCUGUAGGAUGCCUGCUUGCUCUGUAGGAUGCCUCCUUGCCCUGCAGGAUGCCUGCUUGCUCUGUAGGAUGCCUCCUUGCUCUGUAGGAUGCCUCCUUGCCCUGCAGGAUGCCUCCUUGCUCUGUAGGAUGCCUCCUUGCUCUGUAGGAUGCCGUUGUGGUUCUGUAUCAGCUCACUCCUCAUCCAUCUCCGUAUCUCUCAUCAUCUGUAUCUCUUACAGCACUUCUGCUGCAUGUGAGAGAUCAGAUGUAAGACUAAACAUCCCAUGGCCAACAAGGAACAAAAUAUAACCACAACAGAAAGGGAAAGCAGCGGGGAAAGAUAGGGGAGGGAUUCAUGAAAACCCAUCAUCACUUCCCAGUGAACAGGUCAAUCUCUGUGAUCAGGCAGCUCAGGAGGCUGGUGGCAAAGAACAAGGGAAGAAAAUCUUCUUCACCCAUUUCUUUUCUUGGCUGCACACUUCCCAAAAGCCACCCCUGGGUGCUGAUAUGUGGGUGUUGAUACCACUCACAGAGACAUCCAUAAAUAUUCCAUGUGACCCUCCCAGGUCCCUGGGGAGGCUGGAUUUAUAAUGGUGUCUAAGACUCCAUGGGUCCUUCUAAUGCAACCAGCUGGAGCACCUUGUCCUCCCACCACAAGUGUCCGUAGCUCCCAGGUGCAGCCCAGUGCCACUUGUAGGUCCAGUUUGGCUCCAGAGGUCACACAUCCCCUAAGCCAAGGUUUCAUUUGCUUGAUUCAUAUCCCAAGGAGCUGAACACAGCUGUUGAAUGCUCUCUGCAGUAGAUUAGUCACGACUCGCAUUGAAAUUGUACCGCUGCUGGUUCUUCUCAGGAAAAAAAAAAGACAUCUGGAAAAAAUUUUAGAGAGGAAAAAAAAAAAAGAAGAGAAAAGGAACCACAACUUUUCUAACUGACAACGUGGCAAUUGCUCUGCACUGUAGCCUGAAGCUAAGACCUCUGCUAAGGGCUUAGACAAAUGAUAGUGCCAUGGAGAUAAUUAUAGCAGGGAUUUCUUUAUGGAUGUGGUGGCUUAGACCCUGGGUCUGAGCGAAAGCAAAAAGCAGUGAUGCAGUCACAUCUGGAAAUGGCCCCCAAGCUCAUCCAGUGAGCCCAGCGGGGUGGGAGUGAGGGGUGCUCAUGGUGCUCCACGCACAUGGUGGGGGCAGCCGGGUCCUGCACCUUGGGAAGGACACACUGCCAGGCAUCAGCGGUGGGAUGCAGGGGGACCACACGGAGGGGGAAACAAGAGCCCGCAGCAACUGGCUGGCUCGUUAAACUCAGCAGCUUUAAAAAGCUCCAGAAGCAACUGAGAGCUUGCAAAGGAACUCCUGGAAAGUCCUUUCCACUCUUGUAAGGCUUAGUGGGGUCAUCAAAGAGGAGAUUUUGGUGUCAGGCUAUCAGGAGGAAAACUGGACCUCACACACGUUUAGAAAGUUGUCUUAUGCCAUCUGGGGCACCGGACGGGCAGGGGAUUGCCCAAGGGGCCUCCACAGCCCUGGGAGCCCUGGUAGGGCUGCAGCAGGUCCAGCUCAGGCUCCUGACCAUGUGCCAGUGGGUGCUUUGGGCACAGUGGAUGAACCCCAGGGCUCCCGGGGCUCGCUCCCAGAUCAAGUGACUGCACAAACUCAGAUGGAAACAGCAAACAGGGCAAGACCCUUUGAGGCUUGAGCUCAUUUUACAGCAAAGCCAAGAGGUCUGGAGGGGUGAGGUUUGAACUCCAGCUAACCCCUGUUCAAAAUCCAAAUUUCUUCAUCGUGCUUUGAGCCAGGUUGGGCAGAUCUGGGCUGGCGCAGUUGAGAAAAUCCUGUUGCUUUCCAAGAGGGGAACAAUUCUGCUGUAAGAGAUGGGGGAAAAGGCAAGUGAGCAGCUCUGUGGGAGUGAUACAAGUGUGGAUUAAUAAUCCUGCCAUCUUCUGCUCACUAAUUUGUCAGUCUGAGAAGCCUUUCCUUCCCUCUGCUCUGGGAGGGAUUCUCUAAUGAGUUUUUCUCUAGAGGAUGUGUCUGCAUUAAUUGCUGGUGGAGGCUGCUGCAAAACAAUGAACCCAAAGUGCAUAUAAAUAAACAGGAUGCCCUGGAA